UGCCGGCCUCUCCAACGCAGGAAACAAGCAUCGGUGCCCAUCGAUCCAACCGAACACGAACCGGCCAACUGUGUCAAUCCUCACUCAGCUCACUCAGCUCACUCUGCUCUCUUCUCUCGAACUCUCCACACCCUUGACAAUACCAUCGACCCUCGUCAGAUCCAGCGAGCCGGAGGAGAACUCCAAGCCGAACUCCCACACUCUCAGAUGCCGGCCACGGCGAACGGCGGCGCGCGGGCGGAGUAGGCAACAGCCCGCGUCUUCCUUCCCAUGGAGACGAGGCCAGCGCAGCUGGCGGCAAGGUCGAUGGACAUGAAGAGGGCGGUGCGCAAGCGGAUGAGGCAGCAGCAGCCGGGCCUUCCAACAUGGAGACGAUGCCGGAGGAGCUCGCGCGGCGCUAACGGACGGGAGGAGGAGGGGGCCGUGGAGCAGAGGAGGCAGCAGUCGCGCCUUCCCCUAUGGGAACGAGGCCGGAGGAGCUCUUGGCGAGGCUGGCCGACGGGAAGGUUCGGAGGAGGCAUCGGCGCGCGAGUGCGAGGCGUACAAGAUGAACAAGCUUACCCGACAUCGUGAGACCAGCUGCAAAAGAAAAUCAGGUGAGUUAGUUGCGUACAGCUGGCUCCGUUCAACAAAGACCAGCUGAGGUAGUUGAGCCAUUGCAGAUUUGUAGCGCUCCAAGGAGCGCCCAGUGCCAAAUUGAUACGGAGAAAGGAUCGCGCAGAAAAAAAGGGGGAAGCGCCCGACGACAGCCUAGGCAUUGAUGUCAGCCCAAAUCCUAGGAUCGGGGGGAUUUGACCAAAUCGGGAGGGAAUCGAACCCUGGCGCCCGUCGUAAGUGCCCCCGUUGUACAUGCCCUUAGUGGAAGUACAAUAAUGAGUUUAUAGCCCAUUUACAUGAUACUUUUGGCACUGUGAAGAAGACGACAUGAAAAAUGAUGGGAGUGAACUCUCAUACAAGAGCCUAACUAUAUACGCAUUCCUAGACAAAUGCAAUAAAUAUGAAAAAUGAGAUAGAGAGAAGGUGAAAAAAGUAAUACUUUUAUACUCUAUAGCUAACCUUGUUGUAUGAGUGACUAUAAGUGAUGACUAUAUAUGACACUACAACAUUGUAUAGCCAGCAGUUGGCUAUAGUAUUAAUCAUGCUCAUGCUCUUAGGGUCAUGUUGCAUCCCCUCAGCCAGGCCCUUUGGCCCAUUUAUUAGAUGAGUGUGUUUAAUGUUUCACGUGUACGGCACAAGUUUAAAGUAUCAAAGUACCAUUGGGUCUGGCUAAGUAUUUCAAAUCGGGUGUCUCUUUUCACCCAGGUCCACGUUUGAGGGAUGUAAGGAAGGACAAGUGUCGGUCCUACUCACAUCAUUUCUAAUCUACACAGUGCUUUGAUUUAAGAUAAACUCUACAUGAAAAAUAUGUAUGUCGACGUUGUGGUUUCAUUUAGUCGAUCGGUUCCUUAUUUAGUGAACUAUAAAUUUUAAUUUUCGUGUUCAUGUUUGAAGCUAAUUUAGAUGAAUUUUGACAAAUUCCUCACACAUGAUCAACUGUUAGAAAACUCUUUACUAGCUUCAUCUUGUUGUUUCACAUGACUUACGUUUUCUCUUUCGACAGUCGUACACAAAUAGAUCCGUGUCUCCAUACUGGACUGUACAUGGGUGUUCACGUGUGCAUGUUAUUUUGGAUGAGUUUAUGCAAAUUCUGGACACACGGUCGACCUUUGAGGGCUCCUUUGAUUUAAAGGAAUUCUAUAGGAUUUUUGGAGGAUUGAAAUCCUUAUGAAUUUUUCCUGUGUCGGCCCUUUGAUUCAUAGGGUUGGAUCCCAUAGGAUUUUUUUUAUGAAUCUUUUGUACUACAUUUUAUAGGAAAUCUAACAUCCACUCCAACCUCUUUUUACAAUUUCUUUGUUUGUCAUGUGGCAUCAAACACUCCUUGCUAAUUCUAUAGGAUUCAAGUUGACAUGUCACUCGAAUCCUAUACUUUUCCUAUUCCUACAUUUUCAAAAUCCCGCGAAUCAAAAAGGCCUUGAAAUCUUAUUUGACCACUAGCUUCAUCUCGCUGUUUCACAUGACUUUCGUGUUAUGCAUUUUCUGUUUUAACAGUGGUGGAAGAGUAGAUCUAGGUCUCUAUAAUGGAUUAUACACGUGUUCACGUGUGCAUGUUAUUUUGGAUGAAUUUUUGCAAAUUCACACACAUGGUCGACUAUUUGAAAAUUUAUUUGACCACUAGCUUCAUUUCCCUAUCUCACACGACUUUUAUGUUGUGUGUUUUCUGCUUCGACGAUAGUAAACAAGUAGAUCUACGUCUCCCUACUAGAUUGUAUACACGUGUUCAUGUGUGCAUGUUAUUUGAACAAAUUUCAACGAACACACACGGACGAUCGUUUGAAAUUUCCUUUGGCCACUAGCUUCAUCUCGCUGUUUCACACGAAUUUUGUGUUGUGUUUUUUUCCGAUUUGACAAUCUAGACAAAGUUCUUCAAGUGUGGUGGUGUGAGAUAAGUUUACUAUGUGGAUAAGAUUCGAAAUUAAUCAUCCAUGUGUGAUAUGUCUUCAACGUAUUUAUAAUUUUUGUAUGAUCCGUGCUACAUUGAAUCAAUUACAUACACUCUGCCAUAGUUUUUAUUGAUUUUUAUUAGACUAACAUAUUAAGACAAUGCCGAGUGUCAUUUUUUUUGUUUUGUGUUUUAAUAUUUCAAGAAAACACCAUAGAAAAAGUUUGAGAAAAAAUCAAGGAAAAUUGGUCUUGAAAGAUUCGUGCAGGGAGAGGACUUGGGGGACAGACCCUGGUGCCCCCCACAGGGUGCAGGCGCCCCUUGUAGGCGCACACCCUACAAGGACGCAUGUGGCCUAUGGGCACCCCCAGAGUGCCUCCGGUGCCCGAUGACAUGGAUAUUCUGCAAAACCCCAAACCUAGUUAUCAUGCAUUUUUUCGCCACUGUCACAUCACGUUUUCGUGGCGAUACUCGUUUUCAGCCACGAUCUGAAACUCUGCAGAGGAAGAAGUCACCUUCUUCAUCACCAACCUCAAUCCUCGAGCUCCAAGAUGAGCUGUGAGUAGUCCACCCCUUGGGCUAUCGUUCAUGGCAGUAGCCAACGUUGUAAUCUCCUCAUCUUGAAGUUUUUAGAUGUCCAAUACAAUAGCCAUAUGAGCUGCCAUACAUGAUUAUGGUUAAUCUGAUGUAUUUGUAGCGGUGAUGUUGAUCAUGUGAUGAAUUUUUUUUAUGUUUA